GCCUAUGGCCAUAGCACCCUGAACAUGCUUGAUCUCAUCUGAUCUCAGAAGCUAAGCAGGGUCAGGCUUGGUUAGCACUUGCACGGGAGACAUUAAUU
rnacentral:rRNA from 1 species